rnacentral:rRNA from 1 species
CCUACGGGUGGCAGCAGUGGGGAAUAUUGGGCAAUGGGCGCAAGCCUGACCCAGCAACGCCGCGUGAAGGAAGAAGGCCCUCGGGUUGUAAACUUCUUUUGUCAGGGACGAAACAAAUGACGGUACCUGAUGAAUAAGCCACGGCUAACUACGUGGCAGCCGCCGAGGGAAUACGUCGGUGGCAAGCGUUAUCCGGAUUUACUGGGGGUAAAGGGCGUGUAGGCGGGAGAGCAAGUCAGAUGUGAAAUUCCAGGGCUCAACCCGGGAACUGCAUUGGAAACUGUUUUUCUUGAGUGAUGGAGAGGCAGGCGGAAUUCCGUGUGUAGCGGUGAAAUGCGUAGAUAUACGGAGGAACACCAGUGGCGAAGGCGGCCUGCUGGACAUUAACUGACGCUGAGGCGCGAAAGCGUGGGGAGCAAACAGGAUUAGAUACCCCUGUAGUC